AGUGGACGCUGGCGGUAGGCCUAACACAUGCAAGUCGAACGGCAGCACAGUAAGAGCUUGCUCUUACGGGUGGCGAGUGGCGGACGGGUGAGGAAUACAUCGGAAUCUACUUUUUCGUGGGGGAUAACGUAGGGAAACUUACGCUAAUACCGCAUACGACCUACGGGUGAAAGCAGGGGAUCUUCGGACCUUGCGCGAUUGAAUGAGCCGAUGUCGGAUUAGCUAGUUGGCGGGGUAAAGGCCCACCAAGGCGACGAUCCGUAGCUGGUCUGAGAGGAUGAUCAGCCACACUGGAACUGAGACACGGUCCAGACUCCUACGGGAGGCAGCAGUGGGGAAUAUUGGACAAUGGGCGCAAGCCUGAUCCAGCCAUACCGCGUGGGUAAAGAAGGCCUUCGGGUUGUAAAGCCCUUUUGUUGGGAAAGAAAAGCAGCAGGUUAAUACCCCGCUGUUCUGACGGUACCCAAAGAAUAAGCACCGGCUAACUUCGUG
rnacentral:rRNA from 1 species